rnacentral:rRNA from 1 species
UACGUAGGGUGCAAGCGUUGUCCGGAAUUAUGGGGCGUAAAGAGCUCGUAGGCGGUCUGUCGCGUCGGAUGUGAAAAUCCAGGGCUCAACCCUGGACCUGCAUUCGAUACGGGCAGACUAGAGUUCGGCAGGGGAGACUGGAAUUCCUGGUGUAGCGGUGAAAUGCGCAGAUAUCAGGAGGAACACCGGUGGCGAAGGCGGGUCUCUGGGCCGAUACUGACGCUGAGGAGCGAAAGCGUGGGGAGCGAACAGG